UGGGGAAUCUUGCACAAUGGGGGAAACCCUGAUGCAGCGACGCCGCGUGAGCGAUGAAGCCCUUCGGGGUGUAAAGCUCUUUCGGCAGGGACGAAACAUGACGGUACCUGCAGAAGCAGCUGCGGCUAACUACGUGCCAGCAGCCGCGGUAAUACGUAGGCAGCGAGCGUUGUUCGGAGUUACUGGGCGUAAAGGGUGCGUAGGCGGUCCCUUAAGUUUGGUGUGAAAUCUCCCGGCUCAACUGGGAGGGUGCGCCGGAUACUGAGGGGCUAGAGUGCGGGAGAGGAAAGUGGAAUUCCUGGUGUAGCGGUGAAAUGCGUAGAUAUCAGGAGGAACACCGGUGGUGUAAACGGCUUUCUGGACCGUAACUGACGCUGAGGCACGAAAGCGUGGGGAGCAAACAGG
rnacentral:rRNA from 2 species